rnacentral:rRNA from 1 species
CUCAGAGUGAACGCUGGCGGCAGGCCUAACACAUGCAAGUCGAGCGGCAGCGCGGGGCAACCUGGCGGCGAGCGGCGGACGGGUGAGGAAUGCAUCGGAAUCUACCCUGUCGUGGGGGAUAACGUAGGGAAACUUACGCUAAUACCGCAUACGACCGAGAGGUGAAAGUGGGGGACCUUCGGGCCUCACGCGAUUGGAUGAGCCGAUGCCGGAUUAGCUAGUUGGUGGGGUAAAGGCCCACCAAGGCGACGAUCCGUAGCUGGUCUGAGAGGAUGAUCAGCCACAUUGGGACUGAGACACGGCCCAAACUCCUACGGGAGGCAGCAGUGGGGAAUAUUGGACAAUGGGCGCAAGCCUGAUCCAGCCAUGCCGCGUGUGUGAAGAAGGCCUUCGGGUUGUAAAGCACUUUUGUUCGGGAAGAAAUCGUACGGAUUAAUACUUUGUACGGAUGACGGUACCGAAAGAAUAAGCACCGGCUAACUUCGUGCCAGCAGCCGCGGUAAUACGAAGGGUGCAAGCGUUACUCGGAAUCACUGGGCGUAAAGCGUGCGUAGGCGGUUCGUUAAGUCUGCUGUGAAAGCCCUGGGCUCAACCUGGGAACUGCAGUGGAUACUGGCGGACUAGAGUGUGAUAGAGGAUGGUGGAAUUCCCGGUGUAGCGGUGAAAUGCGUAGAGAUCGGGAGGAACACCAGUGGCGAAGGCGGCCAUCUGGAUCAACACUGACGCUGAGGCACGAAAGCGUGGGGAGCAAACAGGAUUAGAUACCCUGGUAGUCCACGCCCUAAACGAUGCGAACUGGACGUUGGUUGCAACUUGGCAAUCAGUGUCGAAGCUAACGCGUUAAGUUCGCCGCCUGGGGAGUACGGUCGCAAGACUGAAACUCAAAGGAAUUGACGGGGGCCCGCACAAGCGGUGGAGUAUGUGGUUUAAUUCGAUGCAACGCGAAGAACCUUACCUGGCCUUGACAUCCAGUGAACUUUCCAGAGAUGGAUUGGUGCCUUCGGGAACACUGAGACAGGUGCUGCAUGGCUGUCGUCAGCUCGUGUCGUGAGAUGUUGGGUUAAGUCCCGCAACGAGCGCAACCCUUGUCCUUAGUUGCCAGCACGUAAAGGUGGGAACUCUAAGGAGACUGCCGGUGACAAACCGGAGGAAGGUGGGGAUGACGUCAAGUCAUCAUGGCCCUUACGGCCAGGGCUACACACGUACUACAAUGGUCGGUACAGAGGGUUGCAAAGCCGCGAGGUGGAGCCAAUCCCAGAAAACCGAUCCCAGUCCGGAUCGGAGUCUGCAACUCGACUCCGUGAAGUCGGAAUCGCUAGUAAUCGCGGAUCAGCUAUGCCGCGGUGAAUACGUUCCCGGGCCUUGUACACACCGCCCGUCACACCAUGGGAGUUGGUUGCUCCAGAAGUAGGUAGUCUAACCGCAAGGAGGACGCUUACCACGGAGUGGUCAAUGACUGGGGUGAAGUCGUAACAAGGUAGCCGUAUCGGAAGGUGCGGCUGG